GACGAACGCUGGCGGCGUGCUUAAUACAGGCAAGUAGAACGCUGCAGAGAGGGGCUUGCUCUUCUUGGUUGAGUUGCGAACGGGUGAGUAACGCGUAGGUAACCGUCCUGAUAGCGGGGGUUAACUACUGUAAAGGAUAGCUAAUACCGCAUAAAAUGGAGCAUCUCAUGAUAAUCCAUUGAAAGGUGCUAAUGCAUGACUACCAGAUGGAUCUGCCUUGUAUUAGAUAGUUGGUGGGGUAAAGGCUCACCAAGGCGACGAUACAUAGCCGACCUGGGGCGGUGAUCGGCCACACUGGGACCGAGAACAGGCCCAGGAUCCCUAGGGAGGGAAGCGUAGGGGAUCUUCGGCAAUGGACGGAAGUCUGGCCGAGGCACGCCGGGGGAGUGAAGGAGGUUUUCGGAACGUAAAGCUCUGUUGUAAGGGAAGAAAGGGUGUGAGAGUGGAAAGUUCACACUGUGACGGUAUCUUACCAGAAAGGGACGGCUAACUACGUA
rnacentral:rRNA from 1 species